GCAAUAAUGGAAAAUCUAGAAGCAAACAAGCACCCACCACUGUAAACUACAGAAACAGGGGAAAGGCAGAGAAAGAUAAGAAAACAAGGGAAAGGCAAUACAUAAACAAAUGAAAGGCCUGCAAAGAAGUAAGGGGACGACUAGAU